rnacentral:tRNA from 1 species
AAGAGAGGUACCAUACAAUAAGAACUGCUAAUUCCUAUACCUGAGAUUAGCCCCUCAGCUCUCUUAACCCCCCUCCCCCA